AUCCAGCUGACGAGUCCCGAAAUAGGACGAAACGAUCAUGCUGGAC
rnacentral:hammerhead_ribozyme from 1 species